rnacentral:rRNA from 1 species
GAUGAACGCUGGCGGCGUGCUUAACACAUGCAAGUCGAACGAUGACGCCCAGCUUGCUGGGUGGUUUAGUGGCGAACUGGUGAGUAACACGUGAGUACCCUGCCCUUAACUCUUGGAUAAGCCUGGGCAACUGGGUCUAAUACCUGAUAGGAGCUUCCACCUCCUGGUUGGUGUUGGAGAUAUUUAUCGGUUUUGGAUGGACUCGCGGCCUAUCCGCUUGUUGGGGAGGUAAUGGCUCACCAAGGCGACGACGGGUAGCCGGCCUGAGAGGGUGACCGUCGACAAGGGGACUGAGAGAGGGCGCAGAGUGGUACGGGAGGCAGCAGGGGGGAAUAUUGCACAAUGGGAGCAAGCCGGAGGCAGAGACGUCGAGUGAGGGAUGACGGCCUUCGGGGUGAAAACAUCUGUCAGUAGGGAAGAAGCGAAAGUGACGGUACCUGAAGAAGAAGCACCGGCUAACUACGUG